rnacentral:rRNA from 1 species
GACGAACGCUGGCGGCGUGCCUAAUACAUGCAAGUUGAGCGCUGAAGGUUGGUACUUGUACCAACUGGAUGAGCAGCGAACGGGUGAGUAACGCGUGGGUAAUCUGCCUUUGAGCGGGGGACAACAUUUGGAAACGAAUGCUAAUACCGCAUAAAAACUUUAAACACAAGUUUUAAGUUUGAAAGAUGCAAUUGCAUCACUCAAAGAUGAUCCCGCGUUGUAUUAGCUAGUUGGUGAGGUAAAGGCUCACCAAGGCGAUGAUACAUAGCCGACCUGAGAGGGUGAUCGGCCACAUUGGGACUGAGACACGGCCCAAACUCCUACGGGAGGCAGCAGUAGGGAAUCUUCGGCAAUGGACGAAAGUCUGACCGAGCAACGCCGCGGGAGGGAAGAAGGGUUUCGGAUCGUAAAACUCUGUUGGUAGAGAAGAACGUUGGUGAGAGUGGAAAGCUCAUCAAGUGACGGUAACUACCCAGAAAGGGACGGCUAACUACGUG